rnacentral:rRNA from 1 species
UACGGAGGGAGCUAGCGUUGUUCGGAAUUACUGGGCGUAAAGGGCGCGUAGGCGGAUAGUUUAGUCAGAGGUGAAAGCCCAGGGCUCAACCUUGGAAUUGCCUUUGAUACUGGCUAUCUUGAGUUCGGGAGAGGUGAGUGGAAUGCCGAGUGUAGAGGUGAAAUUCGUAGAUAUUCGGCGGAACACCAGUGGCGAAGGCGACUCACUGGCCCGAUACUGACGCUGAGGCGCGAAAGCUAGGGGAGCAAACGGG